rnacentral:rRNA from 1 species
UACGAAGGGUGCUAGCGUUGUUCGGAUUUACUGGGCGUAAAGCGUGCGUAGGUGGCUUUACAAGUCAGGGGUGAAAUCCUGGGGCUCAACCCCAGAAUUGCCUUUGAAACUGUAGAGCUAGAGUAUCGGAGGGGAUAGCGGAAUUGCUAAUGUAGAGGUGAAAUUCGUAGAUAUUAGCAGGAACACCGGUGGCGAAGGCGGCUAUCUGGACGAUUACUGACACUCUGGCACGAAAGCGUGGGGAGCGAUCCGG